rnacentral:piRNA from 2 species
UAGUGUCCCCACAGACUGGAUCUGUCACU